rnacentral:rRNA from 1 species
AGAGUUUGAUCCUGGCUCAGGACGAACGCUGGCGGCGUGCCUCAUACAUGCAAGUCGAGCGGACCUUUCAGGGUCAGCGGCGGACGGGUGAGUAACACGUGGGCAAUCUGCCCGAUACUCUGGGAUAACGCUUGGAAACGAGUGCUAAUACCGGCAUCGGUCUUCCUGGUCACAUGGCCUACAAGGAAAAGACGCGUUCGCGUCUGUGUCUGAUGAGCCCGACGCGCAUUACCUACUGGGUGAGGUAACCGCCCACCGAAGCCACGAUGCGUAUCCCACCUGAGAGGGUGACCGGCCACACUGGGACUGAUACACCGGCCAUACUCCUACCGGAGGCAGCAGAAAGGAAUCUUCUACACUGAGCGAAAGCCUGAUGGAGCGACACCGCGUGAGUGAUGAAGGCCUUCGGGUUGUAAAACUCUGUCCUUCGUGACGAAUCCGAGUCUGAGGAAAUGAACACUCUCUGACGGUACCGGAGGAGGAAGCCCCGGCUAACUACUUGCCAGCAGCCGCGGCAAUAUCUAGGUCGCAAGCGUUGUCCCGAUUCGCUGGGCGUAUAGCGCGCGCACGCGGUGAUGUAACUCUGACGUGAAAACCAGAAACUCAACUUCGGGACUGCCUUGGAUACUGCGUC